rnacentral:lncRNA from 1 species
AAGAUUUUAUUUAUUUAUUCAUGAUAGUCACAGAGAGAGAGAGAGAGGCAGAGACACAGGCAGAGGGAGAAGCAGGCUCCGUGCAGGGAGCCCGACGUGGGAUUCGAUCCCGAGUCUCCAGGAUCGCGCCCUGGGCCGAAGGCAGGCGCCAAACCGCUGCGCCACCCAGGGAUCCCCCUUGUUGUUAUUUUAAACAGAAGCUAUUUCAGAUGUCUGUUUAAAGGAAAUGCCAGCCACCAGCCUUCAAGGUAUAGGCGAUGGUAUUACUCUAGAAAAGUGUUUUUUCAAACUUCAUUAUAAGAAACUUCAUGGGUUUCACGAAUGUGCCAUUAAGCCUGGCUCCUCGCUUAGCUUGUACGGAGCUCCCCACUAAUGUGGACAAACCCUGAUACCCUCAGGUGACAGUCACAUGGCUCCAAACCCAGUCUGGCCACCUGCUUCCUCCACAUGGAAAAGGAAGGUUGUAAGGCUCGUACUAGAGAAGUGAAGCAACUUGCCCAAGAUCACACAGACAGCAAGUGGACAGAGCCAGGAUUCAAACCCAGGAAGUCUGGCUCUGGAGUCCUUGCCCUUAGCCACCUUUCUCGGAAAGAUGCAAGUUACAUUAUUGCAACACAUGGGACAUGUACUCCUUGCAGUGGUUCUGGGAGAAAUCUCUGUCCAGAAAUCACGCCAGCUUGCUGUUUGAGAUGACUGCUGAAGAACUAGUCCAGUGAACCCACUUCAAAUGAGGUAAGGGAGCUGUGAUUGGGCCGCAUGAUGACCAAUCAGCUGUCCUAAAACAAAGAUGCCUGGUUGCAAGCAAGAACUUUCCUUGUUAGCCCCAUUAAAAGCUGGAUAGUUUGGAUUUGAAGUGAAGAGGAAGGCUUGACUUGCCCUCCAGCUGCUGGGAGAAUCUUUUCAAGGAUCAGCUGUGGAGACCUGUAGGAUCAUCUAGUUUGUACACCUCUUCUUCUGCCUGGUUGGAAGGAAGACACCAGGGGAAGGCACUUUCCACCCACCACCCCGUCUUGCACCCCUGGUCUCCAGCACUCCCAUUAAGAUGUAAGUGGAUGAUCUGAGAUGAUCUGACUCUUACCUGCCCUUCACAGCAAGAAUCAGAAAACAAGGGUUCACUGAAUUGCAUUCUUGAGCAGAGGGCAGCAUCUUGGAUACUCUGAGAGUGUAGUUUCUGGCAUCAAACCCUCCCCAUCAGAAAUAGGCAGGCUCACAGGUGGUGGGAGCAUAAAAUUGGUACAACUCUUCUACAGGGCAACUUGGCAAAAUCUAUCAAAAUUAGAAAUGGGGAUACCCUUUGGACCAAUAAUUUCCCUUCUACAAAUACACUUUUCCAUAUUUGUGCAAAGUGGUGUGUGGACUCCAACAGUGUUGGUACUAGCACAAUAUUUGAAGCAACUUAAAGGAUGCUCCAGAGGGAAUAUAAGUAAAUAGUACCUCUAUACAACGGGAUUCUAUACAGCCAUGGAAAAAGAAUUUUAAAACUCAUGCAUGGGGAUCCCUGGGUGGCGCAGCGGUUUAGCGCCUGCCUUUGGCCCAGGGCGCGAUCCUGGAGACCCGGGAUCGAGUCCCACAUCGGGCUCCCGGUGCAUGGAGCCUGCUUCUCCCUCUGCCUGUGUCUCUGCCUCUCUCUCUCUCACUGUGUGCCUAUCAUAAAUAAAUAAAAAAAUUAAAAAAAAUAAAUAAAACUCAUGCAUGAAUGUGAAAA